rnacentral:rRNA from 1 species
GACGAACGCUGGCGGCGUGCCUAACACAUGCAAGUCGAACGGACAAAAAAGCUUCGGUUUUUUUGUUAGUGGCGGACGGGCGAGUAACGCGUGAGUAACCUGCCCUUCAGUGGGGAAUAACGGCUGGAAACGGUCGCUAAUACCGCAUAAUAUAUCGGGAUGGCAUCAUUCUGAUAUCAAAGGAGCAAUUCGCUGAAGGAUGGACUCGCGUCCGAUUAGCUAGUUGGUGAGGUAACGGCUCACCAAGGCGACGAUCGGUAGCCGAACUGAGAGGUUGAUCGGCCGCAUUGGGACUGAGACACGGCCCAGACUCCUACGGGAGGCAGCAGUGGGGGAUAUUGCACAAUGGAGGAAACUCUGAUGCAGCAACGCCGCGUGAGGGAAGAAGGUCUUCGGAUUGUAAACCUUAGUAGUCAGGGACGAAUAAAUGACGGUACCUGAAGAGUAAGCUCCGGCUAACUACGUG